UGGAGGCUACAUGUAACACACGUCCUUUGUAUUCCAGGUACUCAGAGCCAUAAUCCAUAACUCCUAGCAGCCUUGAGAUCAAAAUAAAAGCAGAGUCAACGUUGGAGCUUGGGGAAAAUCAUUCCACACCAGAUUCUGUGGCCUGUCUUGGCAUGUUGUCUAAGAGGAGCAGGCGUCUGUGACAAUCAUCCUAACACCUGAUGCCAUGGUAAAUAGCAAAGAUGAACCAAGGAACUGUGUGGUGUGUGGGGACCGAGCCACCGGAUAUCAUUUCCAUGCUUUGACUUGUGAAGGCUGCAAGGGUUUUUUCAGACGAACAGUCAGCAAAAGCACUGGUCCCACCUGCCCCUUUGCUGGAAACUGUGAGGUUAACAAGGCCCAGAGGCGCCACUGCCCAGCCUGCAGGUUGCAGAAGUGUCUAAAUGCUGGGAUGAGGAAAGACAUGAUACUGUCAGCAGAAGCCCUGGCGUUGCGACGAGCAAGGCAGGCGCAGCGGCGGGUACAGCAAACACCUAUACAACUGAGUAAGGAACAGAAAGAGCUAGUCCAGAUCCUCCUGGGAGCCCACACUCGCCACAUGAGCACCAUGUUUGACCAGUUUGUGCAGUUCAGGCCUCCAGCUUACCUGUUCAUCGAUCACCGCCAGCCCCUGACCUCCUUGGCCCCUGUGCUCCCUCUGCUUGCACACUUUGCAGAUAUCAACACUUUCAUGGUGCAGCAAAUCAUCAAGUUUACCAAGGAUCUACCUCUUUUCCGAUCCCUGCCCAUCGAAGACCAAAUCUCCCUUCUCAAGGGAGCUGCUUUAGAAAUAUGUCAAAUCUCACUCAAUACUACAUUCUGUCUCCAAACACAAAACUUCCUCUGUGGGCCUCUUCGCUACAGAAUGGAAGAUGGAGUCCAUGUGGGAUUCCAGGAAGAAUAUAUGGAGUUACUCUUUCAUUUCCAUGGGACACUGAAACGACUGCAACUCCAGGAGCCAGAGUAUGUACUCAUGGCUGCCAUGGCCCUCUUCUCUCCUGAUCGGCCUGGAGUUACCAAAAGAGAAGAGAUUGAUCAGCUGCAAGAGGAGAUGGCACUGACUCUGGAGAGCUACAUCAAGAAACAACAGCUAAGGCCUGGAAAUAGGUUUCUGUAUGCAAAGCUGAUGGGCCUGUUAGCAGAGCUACGGAGCCUUAACAAUGCUUACUGGUACCAAAUCCAGCGCAUCCAGGGACUGUCUGCUAUGAUGCCACUUCUCCAGGAGAUCUGUAGCUGACACCCAUGCUUGCUUCCUUCCCCAACCCACCUGGGACACACUGGACUGGAAAGCUGAAACGGAUGGGACCAUAUAUUGGAACCAGUAUAAAAAGAGCUCAGUGCUUGCAAUGCAAAGACUACAGUAAUAACUGCCUCUUCAUGCAGUCAUGGGGAGAAAUUGAGGGGAGGCAAGAGGGAGGAGGAUCAUAGGAACAAAAAUGAGGAAGCACAGAAGACAGUGAAGAAGGAAGCCUCAGGGUUUAAGAGUCCAGAACCAUAAGAGCAUAUGGAAGAUGAUAGUGCAGCUGGUGGCGGAAGUGGGAGCUUCAAACCACAGCCUCAU